CCAGCCAAGUAGCGUGCAGGAUGACGGCCCUAUGGGUUGUAAACUGCUUUUAUACAGGGAUAAAGUGAGGGACGUGUCCCUUUUUGUAGGUACUGUAUGAAUAAGGACCGGCUAAUUCCGUGCCAGCAGCCGCGGUAAUACGGAAGGUCCGGGCGUUAUCCGGAUUUAUUGGGUUUAAAGGGAGCGCAGGCUGAUGAUUAAGCGUGACGUGAAAUGUAGCCGCUCAACGGCUGAACUGCGUCGCGAACUGGUUAUCUUGAGUGAGUUCGAUGUUGGCGGAAUUCGUGGUGUAGCGGUGAAAUGCUUAGAUAUCACGAAGAACUCCGAUUGCGAAGGCAGCCAACAAGGCCUUUACUGACGCUAAAGCUCGAAGGUGCGGGUAUCGAACAGGAUUAGAUACCCUGGUAGUCCGCACGGUAAACGAUGGAUGCCCGCUGUUUGCGAUAUACUGUGAGCGGCCAAGAGAAAUCGUUAAGCAUCCCACCUGGGGAGUACGCCGGCAACGGUGAAACUCAAAGGAAUUGACGGGGGCCCGCACAAGCGGAGGAACAUGUGGUUUAAUUCGAUGAUACGCGAGGAACCUUACCCGGGCUUGAACUGCCAGUGAACGAUACAGAGAUGUUGAGGCCCUUCGGGGCACUGGUGGAGGUGCUGCAUGGUUGUCGUCAGCUCGUGCCGUGAGGUGUCGGCUUAAGUGCCAUAACGAGCGCAACCCUUUUCAUUAGUUGCCAUCAGGUAAUGCUGGGCACUCUGGUGAUACUGCCACCGUAAGGUGUGAGGAAGGUGGGGAUGACGUCAAAUCAGCACGGCCCUUACGUCCGGGGCUACACACGUGUUACAAUGGGUGGUACAGAGAGUCGGAUCAACGUAAGUUGGUUCUAAUCCUAAAAGCCAUCCUCAGUUCGGAUUGGGGUCUGCAACCCGACCCCAUGAAGCUGGAUUCGCUAGUAAUCGCGCAUCAGCCAUGGCGCGGUGAAUACGUUCCCGGGCCUUGUACACACCGCCCGUCAAGCCAUGAAAGCCGGGGGCGCUUGAAGUCCGUGACCGCAAGGAUCGGCCUAGAGCGAAACUGGUAAUUGGGGGCUAAGUCG
rnacentral:rRNA from 1 species